CGGCUGAGUAACGCGUGGGUGACGUACCUAUAGGUGGGAAUAACUGCCCGAAAGGGUGGCUAAUACCGCAUACGUCCACUGGAGUCGUCCAGUGGGGAAAACCGCAAGGUGCCGAUGGAGCGGCCCGCGUUCGAUUAGCUGGUUGGUGGGGUAACGGCCUACCAAGGCGACGAUCGAUAGCUGGUCUCAGAGGAUGAUCAGCCAGACUGGGACUGAGACACGGCCCAG
rnacentral:rRNA from 1 species